rnacentral:rRNA from 1 species
AACGAACGCUGGCGGCAUGCCUAACACAUGCAAGUCGAACGAGACCUUCGGGUCUAGUGGCGCACGGGUGCGUAACGCGUGGGAACCUGCCCUUAGGUUCGGAAUAACUCCCCGAAAGGGGUGCUAAUACCGGAUAAUGUCUUCGGACCAAAGAUUUAUCGCCUUUGGAUGGGCCCGCGUUGGAUUAGCUAGUUGGUAUGGUAAAAGCCUACCAAGGCGACGAUCCAUAGCUGGUCUGAGAGGAUGAUCAGCCACACUGGGACUGAGACACGGCCCAGACUCCUACGGGAGGCAGAAGUGGGGAAUAUUGGACAAUGGGCGAAAGCCUGAUCCAGCAAUGCCGCGUGAGUGAUGAAGGCCUUAGGGUUGUAAAGCUCUUUUACCCGGGAUGAUAAUGACAGUACCGGGAGAAUAAGCUCCGGCUAACUCCGUG